AUAGCUCUUUGGUGACUAUGGCGGCGAGCCACGCAUCUCUUCCGCCUCUCUUGCCGCCAGCCUCUGGCAGCCCUGCCCAAGCCCAGCGGGCAGCCGCGGGUCUCUACCUUUUGCCUCUAAGUCUGUGGCGGCAAAGAUAGGAUCUCGUCGUGACCGUGCUGCAGACGAACUGAUUCGUACAUCAGUUAAGAGAUGAGAGGAAGAUAAUCCCUUUUGGAUUCCAGAGCGCCUCACUCGAAGGAUUCAGCUCUUAGACGAUGAAUCACAAGAACAAGAUCCCAAGAUGUCGAUGGAUCAUACUUGUAAUGCUGGAGAUUCUGGUUCCUAGUAUAAAUGGAGAGUUCAGAUGGGGAAUUAUGUCAACUUUUCCUCUUCCUAUGCCAGUUAUGCACAACGCACAAAUAUUUCCACGUUUUUUCACUACAAAUAAAAAACUGGGAAUUGCUUAUUUACUCUUAGAUGAACAGAUUCAGGCUUUACAAGAAAAUAGAACCUUUUUUAUACAGGGAAGCCCGUGCUUUGUGCUAAUUUCCUCAUUACAAGAUAAGACUCAAUGUAUAUCCUUGUAUAAUCAAUCAGCAGUUUGGUUAAAAAAAGCCUCCUUUGGUGGAGCGGCUUUUGACAUGAAGGCUGACACCAUAGUUAUUAGAGGA
rnacentral:lncRNA from 1 species